CUGGGAGGACCAUCUCCUAAGGCUAAAUACUCUCUAGUGACCGAUAGUGAACCAGUACCGUGAGGGAAAGGUGAAAAGCACCCCGGAAGGGGAGUGAAAUAGAACCUGAAACCGUGUGCUUACAAGUAGUCAGAGCCCGUUAAUGGGUGAUGGCGUGCCUUUUGUAGAAUGAACCGGCGAGUUACGAUUUGAUGCAAGGUUAAGCAGUAAAUGUGGAGCCGUAGCGAAAGCGAGUCUGAAUAGGGCGUUUAGUAUUUGGUCGUAGACCCGAAACCAGGUGAUCUACCCUUGGUCAGGUUGAAGUUCAGGUAACACUGAAUGGAGGACCGAACCGACUUACGUUGAAAAGUGAGCGGAUGAACUGAGGGUAGCGGAGAAAUUCCAAUCGAACCUGGAGAUAGCUGGUUCUCUCCGAAAUAGCUUUAGGGCUAGCCUCAAGUGAUGAUUAUUGGAGGUAGAGCACUGUUUGGACGAGGGGCCCCUCUCGGGUUACCGAAUUCAGACAAACUCCGAAUGCCAAUUAAUUUAACUUGGGAGUCAGAACAUGGGUGAUAAGGUCCGUGUUCGAAAGGGAAACAGCCCAGACCACCAGCUAAGGUCCCAAAAUAUAUGUUAAGUGGAAAAGGAUGUGGCGUUGCCCAGACAACUAGGAUGUUGGCUUAGAAGCAGCCAUCAUUUAAAGAGUGCGUAAUAGCUCACUAGUCGAGUGACACUGCGCCGAAAAUGUACCGGGGCUAAACAUAUUACCGAAGCUGUGGAUUGUCCUUUGGACAAUGGUAGGAGAGCGUUCUAAGGGCGUUGAAGCAUGAUCGUAAGGACAUGUGGAGCGCUUAGAAGUGAGAAUGCCGGUGUGAGUAGCGAAAGACGGGUGAGAAUCCCGUCCACCGAUUGACUAAGGUUUCCAGAGGAAGGCUCGUCCGCUCUGGGUUAGUCGGGUCCUAAGCUGAGGCCGACAGGCGUAGGCGAUGGAUAACAGGUUGAUAUUCCUGUACCACCUAUAAUCGUUUUAAUCGAUGGGGGGACGCAGUAGGAUAGGCGAAGCGUGCGAUUGGAUUGCACGUCUAAGCAGUAAGGCUGAGUAU
rnacentral:rRNA from 1 species